UUAAGGCAAGAUUUUUUUUACUGACAAUUCUAAUUCAACUCUUCAGGCUGGAUUCAUUUAUAUAAACAACUUUGCUAACAACAAUGAGUUUAACAUAGCUAACAAAAAAAAAGUAUAAAAUCUAAUAAUGAAUAGACUGUCAUGAUCACAAAAGAAACACAAAGGAAGGCAAUGACAAAAAGCAAGAAGUAGGGAAAAUACAAAAAAUUCAUACUCUAAGGUACUACAAACUUUUUAGAAUUAGGCCCAAAUUAGGCUCUGGGCUUUACCAAUAGAGAAAUCUAACCAGAUCCAUAUCGAAGAGGAUCCAUAAGAGAAAACAAUUACACUGCUUAGAAGAAGCACAAUUAUCACUGGUGCUAAAUGUAAAAGAAAUUUAUCCUAUGGCUCUUGAUAAAUAAGAUACUGCUGAACAACAUCCUUCACAUUCUUACAGUAAACACAACACUGAAUUUCAGGGGUAUGACUGUUAUGGCAUCCCUCAAAUUAGACCAAUAAUGUAAAACCAAAAUGCUAUUCUACCUGUGAUAAAACAAUGUAGUCUACUAACGGUGCAAGAUCUCUAAUGCAGGUACUAAUAUUACCUCAUUCCAAUCCUACCCUUCCUUCUACACUUUCCCCUUCUAUAUCUUUGAAUCCAUCUGAAUAUGGUCCACUAUAAUCAGCCCUAAACCUACUUUUCUACCUUCUAGUCCCAUUUUUCCUCUAAACCAAUGUAUUUCAAACCACACACCAUCAAUUAUUGUACUAUGAAACCCAAUAAAUAGUUAACAACCAUAUUUUUUCUAUUUUCAGAAUAGAAAAGAACAGAAAAAUAAAAUGCACUGCAUACAAUAAGAAGAGAAUCACCCCCACCCCAACAAUGAAAGGAGAUGAAAUAAACCAGGAGUUGCAAAGACCAGCGGAGAUAGUUACAUAGCAGCCUGGAAAAGAGAAAAAAAAAAUAAAGAACAAAAAGAGGCGUCUACGGCACCAGACGGUGUGCUCCUUUGUGCACCUAUGUUCAGGUAUCCCUUGCGCACCAGUCCCACACUUCGCUGGUACACAUACCUACUGAUAAAAAUUAACUGUAAAAGUCAGAAACUCCCACGGUACCUUUCCUUUGGGCUUCUCAAAAAUUUUAAGUGAUGAACUGCUCUAGAGCUCCGCCCCUUCUUUCCUUACCCUAAAAGUGCAACUUCUGCUCUAGAGAGAAACUUUCUUUUCCCCGAACACCCGUUUUAUCCCAUCCCCAGGGGAAACGGGGGGAGGGGUUAAGAAAGAGGUCGCCUGGGGGCGCCCAACUCUGCCCUGCCACCCCUGGGCCACAGCCAUGCCGGACUUACCCCCAAACAACAUAGUUGGUCUUCACAUUCUUGGGCCAGGAGAACUCCCCGAAGAUCACUUCGUCUCCCUUCACCACAAUCUCCUUCUUCUGGAUGUUGUACUGUCGCAGGACGCUAAGCACGUCCGCCAUCUUCCCCCCCCUCGCCUCCGCCGGCUCGGGGCGCCGCCGCUGCCGCCGCGCCUGCCUCCUUCUUCUCUUGUCGCCUCGCCCUCUUCCUCCUCCUCCUUCGCCGCCGCGACGAACCAACAGCAGCAGCACUAACAGCCGUCCUCGCCUACGACAGCAGCAGGGGCAGUAGCCACCCAGGCCGCCGAGGACCCCGCGCUGUAAGGCAAGGCCCCGCCGCCGGCUGCCCGCGGAGAACGCCUGACUGCGCCCCUCCAGCGAGGCACAUCCGCCGCCAGGGGGAGCCGCGACCGCCUGGAAAAGUGCCCCUCCCAGACUUCAGCUGGGCACGGAGCCCACUCACUCGCUGAAACGCUGAGCGCUGGGGCACCGCGCCCACGUACGGCGCACGUACGGGGAACUUUGCCGGGCGCGCGCGCGCGGAGCACGUACCCAGUACCCCGCGGCGCGCACCAAGCGGCGUCAGGUGCGCGCGUACCUGAGCAGUGGGUCAGCACUUCCAUCCCCAGCACGUGCACUGAGUAUUUAACGAACUGUCUCGGGUGCGACCAGAGGCUCCCCCGGGUCCCUGCUUUGGCCGGGAUGGAAUUCGGCAAGGAUUUGCGGAACACUAGAAUUACCUUCCUAUUUAGAUCGGACCCAGGCCUAGCCAAAGACCUCUAGGACUUAGUGAUCCGGAGAAGCCCUUUUGAAAGAGUGGGGCUCUUGGGGUUGGGGUUGGGGUUUUUUGUUUGCUUUUGAUGUGGAAAAGAACGAGUUUUGGUUUUUUGUUGGUUUUGAGUGGAAAAGACCGAGUCCAGAAAAAAAAAAAAACAGUUCUGGGCACUGCUCGUCAAGUUACAUAGCUUCUCACAGCAUCAAUUGGUUAAUGAAGAAAAUGGGGUUAAUACGAAGAUAAGGUAAACGCGCCUAGCAAGUCAAUAAAAUAUCCUAAAUG
rnacentral:lncRNA from 1 species